AGAGAAAUACAUAAUAUAAGUUUCACAAGCCCAUGACUCCUAAGUCUCAACAAAAUCAUAGAUGGAGAAGAUCCAUCAAUGGUGGGUAACCGCAAUCCUUCUUACAACGUUGAUGACAAGCAUUGUCUGUUCCACAACCAACAUCACAGUUUCUGAAACAUAUGAUACGUUGGUCUACAUCAUUGACCCUUGUCAAUGGUGGGUAACCACAAUCCUUCUUACAACGUGCAUGGCAAGCAUCGUCAGUUCCACAGCCAACAUCACAGUUUCUGAAACAUAUGAUACGUUGGUCUACAUCAUUGACCCUUUUCAAAGGUGGGUAACCACAAUCCUUCUUACAACGUGCAUGGCAGGCAUUGUCAGUGCCACAACCAACAUCGCAGUUUCUGAAACAUAUGAUACGUUGGUCUACAUCAUUGACCCCUGUAAACAUCAUAGGUA
rnacentral:lncRNA from 1 species